GCAAAACACUAGGGGUGCCAUUCAGCAAUCGCUGAGUGGCUGAGAUCACACCCUCCGAACCUGAUACGGGUUGUGCCGGCGCAGGGAAGUGAAAUGACGUGAUC
rnacentral:ncRNA from 21 species